UCCCUGGUGGCUCAGAUGGUAAAGAAUCUGCCUGCAAUGCAGGAGACCUGGGUUCGAUCCCUGGCUUGGGAA
rfam:Ovis aries breed Texel chromosome 17, whole genome shotgun sequence.